GGGGCUGAUUGAUUCGACAAGUGUUCUUUCAAAUUUACUGCAAGUCCGAUUAGCCUACUCUUUCGGUUAAAAAGAAAAGGUAAAUCAUAAUUGCCACCUCAUUGGUAAACAAAGUUAAAACAGCUUUUGCUGCUUUCAGCUUUGCUCCAGCUCUCGCUUAACUGUGAGGCUGCACCGACCCCUCGUCGUCUGCUAGAGGACCUCCGGUGUUAUAUUUGUAGACUUACUUUGACUGACGCUCGACAUUCAAAGGACAUCCGCCAGUUGGCGGAAGAGCAAACUUAAACCGUUUUGGUCCUGCUUCUAUGGUUUAAGCCAAACAAGCAGGUCUAAACUUGUAGAUGUGGAUUUGAAAAAUAUUUGGACGGGAGUUCACUACUCCCCAGCUCCACCA
rnacentral:tmRNA from 8 species